rnacentral:rRNA from 1 species
CCUACGGGCGGCAGCAGUGAGGAAUAUUGGUCAAUGGACGCAAGUCUGAACCAGCCAUGCCGCGUGCAGGAAGACGGCUCUCUGAGUUGUAAACUGCUUUUGUACGAGGGUAAACGCAGAUACGCGUAUCUAUCUGACAGUAUCGUACGAAUAAGGAUCGGCUAACUCCGUGCCAGCAGCCGCGGUAAUACGGAGGAUUCAAGCGUUAUCCGGAUUUAUUGGGUUUAAAGGGUGCGUAGGCGGUCGGAUAAGUUAGAGGUGAAAUCCCGAGGCUCAACUUCGGAAUUGCCGCUGCUACUGUUUGGCUAGAGAGUAGGUGCGGUAGGCGGAAUGUAUGGUGUAGCGGUGAAAUGCUUAGAGAUCAUACAGAACACCGAUUGCGAAGGCAGCUUACCAAGCUACUUCUGACGUUGAGGCACGAAAGCGUGGGGAGCAAACAGGAUUAGAUACCCUAGUAGUC